rnacentral:rRNA from 1 species
CCUACGGGUGGCAGCAGUGAGGAAUAUUGGUCAAUGGGCGAGAGCCUGAACCAGCCAAGUCGCGUGAGGGAGUACUGCCCUAUGGGUUGUAAACCUCUUUUGUCGGGGAGCAAAAGCCGGACGUGUCCGGCUGUGAGAGUACCCGAAGAAAAAGCAUCGGCUAACCCCGUGCCAGCAGCCGCGGUAAUACGGAGGAUGCGAGCGGUAUCCGGAUUUAUUGGGUUUAAAGGGUGCGCAGGCGGAUUUUUAAGUCAGCGGUAAAAUCGUGGGGCUCAACCCCAUCCAGCCGUUGAAACUGGGGAUCUAGAGUGUGCGAGAGGUAUGCGGAAUGAGUGGUGUAGCGGUGAAAUGCAUAGAUAUCACGCAGAACCCCGAUUGCGAAGGCAGCAUACCGGUGCACAACUGACGCUCAGGCACGAAAGCGUGGGUAUCGAACAGGAUUAGAUACCCCUGUAGUC